GACGUGAGGAUAAAUUUAAUUAUAAUUAAAGGGAAGUUAAUUAUAUAUAAAAUUUAAAUUUAAUAUUUUAUUUAUAGGUGAAAUUAAUAAAUUAGAAUUAAUAAUUUAAACUUAAUGAAUCUUAAAAAUCUGUUUAAGAAACUAGGAUUAGAUACCCUAUUAUUGAAGAUAAAUUUUAAACCUUGGAGUAGUAUCAGCUAUGGACUUGAAACUUAAAAAAUUUGGCGGUAUUCUAGCCCAGUCAGAGGAAUUUGUCUCGUAAUCGAUGUUCCACGAAACAUGUACCAAUUUUUAUUUAGUUUGUAUACCGUCGUCGUAAGAAAAUCUUUAAAAAGUAAAUUUUCUUAAGGUUAUAAAAAAAAAUAAGUCAGAUCAAGGUGCAGCUUAUAAAUUGGAGAAGGUGAGUUACAAUCCUUUAAGGAUACGGUUAUUAAGUUUUAAGACUUAAUUUAAGGUGGAUUUGACUGUAAAUUAUUUUAUAAAGAAUAAUUGAGGAGCGCUCUAGAAUAUGCACACAUCGCCCGUCACUCUCGUUGAAAUUUGAG
rnacentral:rRNA from 1 species